CUCGCACCGGCGCUGGGGUGCAGGCUUUCAGUGGUCUCAGGGCUACGGCUUGUCGGUGCCUCGCCGCACAGUCCCCUUUGCAUUGAAGGACACGGUCUUACGGUGUAGGAGCAUUUUUGAGGUGCAUUCCUGGAUUUGGAGGCGAACCCCCAAUGGUUACCUCCACAGAGGCUUUGCGAAGGGCGCUCACUGACUUAGGUGAAGAGCGAAGGCUCAAGACUGUGCCGCUUUAUAGUGGCCCCUUGACGUCCAGAAGUUCCCCCCAGCGCCGGUCAUAAGCACUCCCGCCGCCUGGGCCCCGCCCUGCCUGCCAGGCGCCCUCCAGCCUCAGCUCCCGGACGCCCGGCGUGGCCGCUUUCUCGCGUCUUGCUGACCCGGGCCGGGGGCGUGUGCUCCUCCUGCAGCGGACGGAAGAUGCUGGGCCACGCAAGUUUCCCUGGGCUUGGUUAACCACCCCAAAGCCCAUUUCCAGAAGGAAAGGGUGUUGAGGAGGAGGGAUAGAAAGUCGAGAAGAGGGCCGGAGAUGAGAUCUUGCUCUGUCACCCAGACUGGAGUGCAGUGGCACGAUCAUAGCUCACUGCACCCUCAAACUCCUGGACUCAAAUCAUCCUCUACCUCUGCCUCCAUGAGUAACUGGAACUACAGGUCAACACAGAUUCUCGGAAUUAAACACUUCCAUGUCCCAGAGGAUCAAAGUCACUUGCAAAAAUACCUCAAAAUGUGUUUGUCAAGAAAUUACACUUUCUCUUGAUUUUGUGGACCACUUUCUAAUUUCCAACCCAGACAAAAGCCUCCUAGUGAAGCUGGUCUUUCCU
rnacentral:lncRNA from 1 species